AUAAAUUACAAUCAGAUAAGUACUUUGUACAUUGCUAAUUUCUUCCCCCUCAUCCCCAAAUAUAAUUGAUUUUGCCUAUUGAAAUGCUAACUGCCUGCUAUAUUCUUGUAGGUGACCUGUUUGACAUCACGUAGUUACAUAAAAUAUAUUCUGGGAAGAUUCAUCAUGAUUGACACAACUCAUUUCUACCUUAGUUUUCAAAGGUAAUGAAGGACACGGACUUGCACUUUCCAUGAAGUCUUGAAAGGCUUGACAUCUCGGAGGAAAGCGUAGGAAGCAGCCAUUUUAAGAAAUUGAAGCUAGUGGAGUCGAAGCCCUAUAAAUUAUAAACCGAGUUAUUUGUAAAGGAUGCAGAUCCUUUUUAUAAAUGGGUCGGGUAAUUUUGAUUGCUGAUUUUUGACAAAAUUACCCCUUCCAAUUUUAAG